AGAAUCAACGCUGGCGGCGUGCCUAACACAUGCAAGUCGAACGAGAAAGGGGAGCAAUCCCUGAGUAAAGUGGCGACCGGGUGAGUAACACGUGACUAACCUACCCUCGAGUGUGGAAUAACAUCGGGAAACCGAUGCUAAUACCGCAUAACAUCGGCGCUUUUAAGAGAUGCCGAUCAAAGGAGCAAUCCGCUUGAGGAGGGGGUCGCGGCUGAUUAGCUAGUUGGCGGGGUAACGGCCCACCAAGGCGAAGAUCGGUAGCC
rnacentral:rRNA from 1 species